CUGGCGGCGUGCCUAAUACAUGCAAGUCGAGCGAAUGGAUUAAGAGCUUGCUCUUAUGAAGUUAGCGGCGGACGGGUGAGUAACACGUGGGUAACCUGCCCAUAAGACUGGGAUAACUCCGGGAAACCGGGGCUAAUACCGGAUAAUAUUUUGAACUGCAUGGUUCGAAAUUGAAAGGCGGCUUCGGCUGUCACUUAUGGAUGGACCCGCGUCGCAUUAGCUAGUUGGUGAGGUAACGGCUCACCAAGGCAACGAUGCGUAGCCGACCUGAGAGGGUGAUCGGCCACACUGGGACUGAGACACGGCCCAGACUCCUACGGGAGGCAGCAGUAGGGAAUCUUCCGCAAUGGACGAAAGUCUGACGGAGCAACGCCGCGUGAGUGAUGAAGGCUUUCGGGUCGUAAAACUCUGUUGUUAGGGAAGAACAAGUGCUAGUUGAAUAAGCUGGCACCUUGACGGUACCUAACCAGAAAGCCACGGCUAACUACGUGCCAGCAGCCGCGGUAAUACGUAGGUGGCAAGCGUUAUCCGGAAUUAUUGGGCGUAAAGCGCGCGCAGGUGGUUUCUUAAGUCUGAUGUGAAAGCCCACGGCUCAACCGUGGAGGGUCAUUGGAAACUGGGAGACUUGAGUGCAGAAGAGGAAAGUGGAAUUCCAUGUGUAGCGGUGAAAUGCGUAGAGAUAUGGAGGAACACCAGUGGCGAAGGCGACUUUCUGGUCUGUAACUGA
rnacentral:rRNA from 1 species